AACUAUGUCCAUGCCACUCUGAAAAUGCCUUAUCUCAGAAGCUAAGCAGGAUCAGGCCUGGUUAGUAUUUGUAUGGGAGGCCACCUGGAGAAACUGGGUGCUGUAAGAU
ensembl:rRNA 5S_rRNA 5S ribosomal RNA